UUCUUACCACAUAGAAUCCUUCCUUCUACAUCCUUCACUGCAAGUCAGGAAAGCAACGUUUCUGCAAGACAAGCUGAUCACAGUGCUGGCCAAACCUUCUAUCCUGAACACUGUCCUAAAAGACCCGAUGGUCUCAACAGGAGGCUCCUGACACCCCUAAAGUCAUCUCUCUGGAUUAAUAACCAAUGAAGGUCUGGCUUUGACAGAUGAGGCACCCAGGUGAGAUGUGUCCAGAUCAUCAGCACAUGAUGCUUAGCUCAAAUGGGAAGGAUGCAAGGGUGAUCAGUUGGAAGGAUCCUGACUCACAGGUGUGAAUGUCCUGUGGUGAAGAUUGACUAAUCAUAACAGGCUCCUCGGAUAAAACAGGGUGCUGCAAUAAAUAACCACUAUGGUAA